rnacentral:rRNA from 1 species
CCCUUAGAUGUUCUGGGCUGCACGCGCGCUACACUGAUGCGCUCAACGAGUUUACGACCUUGCCCGGAAGGGUUGGGUAAUCUUUUUAAAACGCAUCGUGAUGGGGAUAGAUUAUUGCAAUUAUUAAUCUUUAACGAGGAAUUCCUAGUAAGCGCAAGUCAUCAGCUUGUGUUGAUUACGUCCCUGCCCUUUGUACACACCGCCCGUCGCUCCUACCGAUUGAAUGUUCCGGUGAGCUCUUCGGACUGCGCGGUCUGCAGUUUCUGCGUUCCGUGCGGAAAGUUGCGCAAACCUUAACAUUUAGAGGAAGGAGAAGUCGUAACA